rnacentral:rRNA from 1 species
CCUUUGUACACACCGCCCGUCGCUACUACCGAUUGAAUGGCUCAGUGAGGCCUUCGGACUGGCCCAGGGAGGUCGGCAACGACAACCCAGGGCCGGAAAGUUGUCCAAACUCGGUCAUUUAGAGGAAGUAACAGUCGUAACAAGG